GGCCCCUUAGAAAGAGCUAAUCUCAAUAACUGGAAUUGGAUAUGUUUCCCUCUUAGAUCCAGUUUCGAAACGUCGUAUUCUCUAUUACCAAGAAUUCUGGAUGAUGGAAAAGGUCAAAAAACCCAGUAAUUCUGUGUCAUUCACCAUCAUCAGAACCCAUACUAAAUUUGAAUUUACUUUGUGAGAUUAAUGUAUUGUAAUGUAACGCAGUGAUUGAGGUUAGCUCUAUAUAAUCGACGUAACAACCCUCUGUUCUAUAGAGUACCGGACAACGGCCAAAGUGCAAAAACGCAAAAUUGAGCGAUCCCGAGGAAUAGUCGAGAACGGUCGAGAAUAUGACGGCAACUAAGCUACCGAAGUCGAAACUAAAACCAUGAAAUGUAAGACUUGCAUAUAGAUGGCACUUACUACCACUGCAAACCAUUACUAAAUUGACCCACGGACAGUUGUAGCGUUAUUAGUAAUGCUCGGUAGUUAGUAUUCCGUGGCGGUAGCCAUUUUUGUAAAUGGAGGCAGGUUGGAAUGGUAAUGUUGUCCAAGUCAUCUAAGUUAUGAAACGUUUUCCCUCACUCGCAGACUGGGAUCGUCGGUUCGAAUCCCACUGGAGGCAUGAAUGUCUGUUUGCGUUUAUUCUGUGUUUUAGGUAGCGGCCUUCCGACCGGCUGGCAAGAUACUGAAAAAGCGGCCAAGGUCCGCAAGGUCUUCAGAGCCAUAGAUAGGCAGUGGAGGUUUUUGAUUUAAUUAAACCAAAUUUCAUGAAUGUGUGGCGUAUGUAAUUUCAGUAUUAAGUUUUAAAAACGUGUCUACAUAAGAUUUUGCAGUAAGUGGACAGUUGUUAUGGUAUGUAGGAGCAUGUGUAAUGUUUAUGAUAUGUGUUCUUGUAGUUUGAAAGCCAGCCGUAUGUACAUUAUUUCCAGGUUGGUCCCCCCUCUGGGGUCACGGUUUAGUUAUCCUGUCAGUACCAAGGAAACAGAAUGAGUUUAUCAAACAGCAUGGUUUAAUGAGACUGCAGACAGCGUUCAAAAUAUCUAGUGAAAAGAUCAUUUGAAAAGGCAUCUGAAUAACCAACCUGUAGAUGGAUUAUAAUUAAUGAUCAUGUAAGCAUUGUAUAAUUGUUACUAUUUCUUUGACAGUUCUGGAGAGGUGCCUGUGGUGAGACUGUCAUCACAACUGAUGUCAGAGCGAGAUAGAAACAUGUAACAGAUUACAAAUAUAAAUCACUCCAUCCAAUGUGACCUUCCUGGAAUGGUGGCAUCAGCGAUGAGUAGCUGUUCCCAGCGAUGAAGGAGAUCGAGUUCCUGAGUGAGCAGGAUCCACAUGGCAUCUUCCUCUCUGUGGAUCCAUGUAAGAGGCAUAAUUUAAUAGUAUAAGGUUUGUUAAUGUUUCACCUGAUGAUGGCUUCAUGAACCAAAGCAUGUUGCAUCAUUGUACGACCAGUAAACUGUGUUAUGCACAGUGAAAUGUGAGUGAAUUAUGUGGUAAACUGUUGUGCUUGACAGGAAAAACAAAACUCAUAUAUAGCAUCUUCCUCUGUCUUCCACUCUUCAGCUGUCUAGCGUGUUCAGGAAUCUCCUGUAUUGAAAGGUGUGUGUGUUCAGAUGCCAGACACACGUACCAGUUUUUGUUAGAAUAUACACUGCCCCAUUUAGGCUGGUCACAGUCCCUGAGUGUUUCUGAACCUUUUCAUUAGCAGACGUACCCCUGCUCAGUGGUAAUCUUUGCCUCAGACUAAUGUGUUGAAUAGUGUCUCGGGGUUUGCAGCCCAGUGGAGCUCAUUAAUAUCACCCAAUUCCUGCACUAGUGAUACAUACGACACACAAAAACUAUGACAGCUGCAAUAGAGUGCAAUGAUGGCGUUCUGAUCAUGAGAUAGAACUAAAUAUUGACUUGCAUGGAGGCACAGUGAACAAGUAUACAGUGCAGUGGUCCCCCCAAAAGAGAAGAAAUAUAUGACUAGAGACAUUUUAGAAACUGGAUAAUCACUUUUAAUGUAUAGAAUAUGCUUUUAGUAUCUUAUUGACAUGUAACGAUUUUAACAUCAAAAAGUAUUGAAAUACUUUUUUAAUGUGAAACUUAAUCCUAAUGUCUUUUAUAUUGUUGCAUUAUUGAUGGAUACUUUGAUAACAAGGAUGAUCAUUCAAUAGAUUGUGCCACUUGACAGUGAAGCAUAUCUUGAAAACUAAACCUCACAGGACACAUUUUGUACAAUAUAUUUGACGUUCUUCCUUUUGUUUCACCCUUUAUAAUGUGUUUAGAUUUACCAUUUGUAAAGCCCUGCAUAAUUGUUACAGUAUAUUGGCAGUUCAGGAGCUGUAUCAGUGAAGAAAAUCUGUAUUGAGUUUGUGGGUGAGCAAGGAUUGUGCAGCAUCUAUGAGGAGCACCCUGUACCACAGGUGUCAUGUUACAUUCACUCUUCUAAUCCAGCGCUUUUGACCUUGUUCGGUAGAUAUCGUGAAAUGUAAUUUCAUUACUUGAUAAAUUUUAACGGCAAUAAACACAGAAAAGAAGCUGUUGCAAAUUUUCGAUUGAUUACAGGACAUGACUGCUUUGCAGCACAUCUUUGUGAGAUAAGAAUAUAUAACACAGAAGAAUGUACACUGUGCAACUUGCCAGGUUCAUCUAUGAGAAAAGAACACCUUCAGUGCCCUAAUCUUAACAAGGAGAUGCAACAAAGCAAGAACUUGAAUGCUCUCUAUUGGGAAGCAAGAGGCAAAAUUGGAUAAAUGAUCCCAAAUGCAGCCAUUGGAAACCACCCAACCAGCCAAUAUCUCAUAUAACUUCCCCACAAUUCAGUACUGUAAGGAAGUAGGCAGGGCAUGGAGGACUCCAUAGUCCCUACUAUAGGCAGCUGGACCUUGUAUACAGGACAGGUGGUGAAGGGGGGAAAGGCUUUCAGGUAGUAAGUGUAGCAGCAUGUGUUCGGUCUCAUAUGCAGGGUUGUGACACAGGGUUAAUGAUAUCGUGCUUUGUCUAAUGGUAUGAAAUGAGAUUCCCAUUUGAACUCCUGCUUUCAGGUGAUAGCUCAUGUUAUGGGGAGCCACAUGUAGGCUUGGUUGGUGGCAUUCAUUAGAACCAGGGCAUCAGCCAGUCAGGAAAUAACAGCACUUCCUAUUGUUAAUCCUUGCCACUAAUGAAAGAAAAAUAAAACCCAUGCUGUUUUGUAUGUACAUCCCAAUAAUUUGUUGUACCAUUUUGCAUUGCAGGCCAGAUCAUAGUCUGUGAUGGGCAUGUACAGGAGGCUUCUGAGAUGGUGCAGCCUCUGGAUGCAAGAAUUCCACAACAAGAGGAGGCCUGCGACUCACCAGCAUGAGACCUCAAGUGACUCGUCUGCCAUAAGAGGAAGGAGUUGUUGCUUUACAGUUAUAACGAGCAAGUUACAGCAUUUGUCUGACGUCCAUUAUGCUGUCCUAUGAUCCACGCAUGACAGGAAGAUACUAUUACAGUAUUACAGGAAGAAAUGUCAGUUUGAUGUGUGUGACCAUGUCAGACUGAUACUUAUUUGUCCAACAAACUGCCUCUCUUGCUUUACUAUGUUUGCAUUGCAAGAGGGUAACACAUAUGCAUGAUAUCAUCCGACUUUGUGUCUUGCCUUGAUGCCAUCGAUGUGCAACAUCGGGUACUAUUCACUUGCUUUUCUUUAUUGACACUGCAUGUUUCGGCCCAACCGGCCAUCUUCAGGUGUACAGGUUGUUGUGAUUGCAGAAUCUACUACUCACUGUAAUGCUGUUUUGUUUCUGUUAUGUAGAGGCCUCGGAUUGUGUCUGGUUAUGUGGGUUACUCAUCUGUUUUUUUUUUUAUUUAGGUGUCCUUGAGCUGCUGGUGUAUGCUUCAUGGUUUUGUUUGGCUGUGGCUGUCUUGAAUGUUCUUGCUGGGGCGGGAAUUUGUUGUGUUGAUGGCCAACCACAGCACAACAAAUAUGCCCAUCUCAAGGACACCUAAACGAAAAACAGAUGGUUAACCCACUUAACCAGACACAAUCCGAGGCCUCUACAUAACAGAAACAGAACAGCAUUAUGUUCUCGCAGGCAACACGCAUUUUGAUGGAGUGUGAUGUGGGAGUUCCAUGAUGAAACCUGUCUAAAGCAUAUCAGCUUCCACUACGGUUGACCUAAAUUACUUUCAUGUAUGUUUAGAGAAGUGUUAGAAGUUACAAACAUUUGGUAAAGUUUUUAUGUAUAUGAAAAAUGGACUCUGUAUGCUUGCACUAUACCUCUCUUUUACUAGUUUCUAUCGAAUAAAGUACAGCCAAUGAUAUCUCUUUCCAAAACUCAUCCUGUAAACUGUGGCUCUCAUAUCUGCAUACAGUAUCAGCAUGUGACAAUUUGGAUUAAUUGACAGUGGCCUUUUCUAAACACGUGGUAACUUGAAAAACUGUUGUCUUCUUAGAUGUGAGGCCAUGUAGACUGGUAGAAUGUUACCACCACUUUGGAAGAACAUGUAAAGUGAUAAGACCCUGAAGAUGGAGGUCUCACAUUCCUCAGAAACGUUGGUAACAUUCCACCAGACUACAUGGUGUCACACCCCAGAAGACUGAAAUCUUUGUGGUUACAGCCAUAUUCAUAUUGCAGAUCUUAGCCGAAGACUUGUUCGCUUAGAGAGUAUACAUUGUACUUGCACAUACAGGGAAUACACAGUCAUGAGCAGGUAACAGUUGGUUUUGAUUUGACAUGGGAGUUAGGUGCAGGAACUGAGAACAGAGUUCCGUGUUCUGUGUUUGUCGAUGCUUCUGAAUUGCACGGUGACAGUGAGGAGGCUACAGCUGGUACUUGGAAUGAAGAGUACAGCAUUCUGAGUUGUAGCAACGUGUAGUUCGGAGAGAGCCCCAAGUUUUUGAGGUGACAUAUUCCUAAACAUUGUUCCAUCUCCAAACUACACGUUGCUACAAUGCAGAGCCCUGAACUCCUUAUAGACAUUGCCAUGAAAACAUCAAAUCAAACAUGGUACUCAGAAUGUCUGUGUAAGAUACGUAAGUUUCUGUCUGAUUGCAGAGGUAGUUGUAAGUAUAAAUUGGAUAGGAACUGCUGCAGCUUUGGGGUUGGUGGGGAGACGUUAAGGCAUUUUUCUAAUUGGUACAGUUAGAAAUUUCUUGGCAGCUAAUUCCUCAAUAAUCUGACAAGCCAUAGUGAACAGUUAGGCAUCAUAUUGAUGUAGAAUUCUGUGAUACAAGUUUGUGGCAGUGUGACUGCCAUAACUUGGCUAUGGUAAAGACAGAUGUGUUGCAGCAUAGUGAAAGCAAUAUGAAUCAGUUCGUUGAAUUGUAACGUAAUCCAUAGAAUGUUUUGACAGUUUAGGACUUAUACUUUUGCAAGAUAUUUUACAUUCAUUGUAUCCAAAAAUUAUAUACACUGAAGCAAAUACAAACAUUCUGAUAUAUGUGAGGCUAUUUGGAUCCUUCUGGGUGGGAUAUUUGUAAUUUAUUUUAAUACUGUAAAUACCCUUCAGAGCUGAUUAUGUCUUUGCUUCAUGUUUUAGGAAAACCUGUUACCUGUACACCCUAAUGAUGUCUGUGCAGAUACAGAUGACACAUGUAAAGGGAAAUAAGACUUUUACGCACAUUGUCAAGGGUUUUAUUUGAUAGAUUCAUACAGAUCAGUCGACUCCUCUAAUGCAGGAGAGAUUGAUCCGUCUUGCGUUGUCACAGGAAAAUGCAGAUCAAUAUGGCCAGAACAUUAAUGUCCUGAACAGAAUUUGAGGUCACCUGAGACUGUAUGCAUGUAUGACAGUGCAGCCAACUAGUUCAGCCUUCAUCCUCGCCAAUACAUAAUUCUGCUUUACAGCAGGCUGUCAGGAAUCACUGGAAUUGAAUGACCCCAGAUGAGUGCUGAUGGCUUUAAUAAAACAAAUAAAGAAAUAAAAACAAAGUUGUCCCUGUGCUUAGUGCGGCACUGCACUCAAAAUAUGUACAGGGUGCAAAUAAAAUGAAGUAUAUGAGAACAUACAAAACAACUUCUGCCAGAAGAGUCACAUUGUAAAUACAGUUAACAAAUAAUUUUAAAAUAUUCAAUAAUUUUAAUGUGUUGGAUGAAUAACAUUAAAA